rnacentral:lncRNA from 1 species
CCCGCCUUGGCCUCCCAAAGUGCUGGGAUUAUAGGCAUGAGCCACUGUGCCCAGCCCCAUGACAUGCAGUUCUGAUUUUGUUUGAGAGCACUCCUGCUUGGAGACUGAAGAUUGUUGCUUAGAACUUCAACUGCAGAGCAUUCAGUUCUUCUGGAAAUAAUACUGCAUUCAUUUCCUGGGGUCACUGUCACAAAGUCUCACAAACUGAGUGUCUUGAAAACAGAAUUUUAUUGUCUCAUACUUCUGGAGGCUGGAAGUCUAAGAUCAUGGUGUCGGUACUGGCAGGGUUGGUUCCUUCUGAGGCUGUGAGAGAGAAUCUGUUCUGCCACUCUCUGAGCUUCUGGUAGCCUCAGGCAUCCCUUGGUUUGUAGAUGGCCAUCUCCUCUGUGGGUUCUCCCUCUGUACUUUCCCUCUGUAUCUUCCUGUCCCUGUACCUGUCUCUGUGUUCAAAGUCUCCCUUUUGCUAAGGACACAGUCAUACCGGAUUAGGGCUCUCCCUAAUGACCUCAACUUGUGCAUCUGCAAAGACUUUAUUUCAAGUAAGGUCACAGUCACAGAUACUGUGAAUUAGGACUUCAAUAUCAUCUUGGGGGACUCAUUUCAGCCCAUAACAAAUCUUUUCUGCCACCCGAAAGAAGUCAGGACUAACCAGAAAGAGUGAAAACCCUUCACAAGAGGAAAUUUCUUAAUGUUUCUGAAAAAAGAGAUACAUCCUACCUUAAACCUAUAUAGGAUUUUACAGACUAUAAAACAUAUUCAUGAUCUUCAUAGUAACCCUUCAAAUCUACUAAAUACAUUUAUAGUCAGAACGUUUAAUUAAACACUUUGAGGUCACAUUCACAAGGGAGGGUCUACGGCUGAACUUUAGUCAUACAAUCCCAUUCAUGUUUACUGCUCUCCCCAAAUAAAUGAGCAGUCCAGUCUGACUCAUCACAGACCAGGGGGCACGAUGGCUGAGAAACCGCAGACUAACCUAGCUGACAUCACAAAGAACCUGAAAGGUCUGGUCACAAGAGAGCAAAGGAAGGUGAAUAAAUCCUCCUUCAGAAAGUGGCGCAUUCAGGAUGAGAUGCUGAGGAAGAAAGGAAAACACAGUGCUACCACUUGUGAAGAUCACUGAUUAAUACAGACACUGAAGACUACCUUUUUUUUGAUUAGGAUGGAAAGAGGUCUCUUGAAUUUACCAGGAUAUACUGCUAAUCUGGCAACACCAAGAAGCACUGAGCACCUAUCUUCUUUAAAAUGCCUAGGGAAUUCUUGCAGGAAGUAACUCUAGAAUGAGACCUGAAGUUGUCAAGUAGAAAAGGGGUGCGGCUGAAGAACUGCUGUAGAGGCAGACAGAACAGCUGUGCAGGAAGUGAGAGCAAGAUCUUGACAAAUAUUAUACAUAAUCUGGGGAUGAAUGAAUUUUUCCAUGCUUGAAAGGAACACCUUUGGAAACCCCUGACCAGGGUAAAGCAAGGAUCCCAACGCACUGCGAACAGCUGGGUGACGGAGUACCGUUUACAUCUUCACAGAAGUUUUUCACCAUUUCUCCAAUCAUUCUGUGUUUUCCAGCAAGUUUCUAUAGAAGUAUGCUCCAACUCACUCCGUCGUAAGCACGGCUUCUCUCCUGAGUAUGCUAAACUCCCCAAACGCAGCAACAACACAGCGUUCCGAUCUUUGGAAUUAAUAAGCAGUGAAACGUUUGAAACUGAACAAAAAUUUUUACAGCUACUGAACUUCCUGUAAGGAAGGCAUGCUUAGUAAACUGCACUCUUUCUGUAAUACUGUGAAAUGGGAGGUAUUUACGUUGGAGGGCUGAUUGCUGGUUCUUCAUAUGAUGUUUUGAAGUGGAGGUUUCUAUUAAUGAUGCCUCUGUUGAGCACAUCUGGUAUAUUUCUGAAGAGAGGCUUUGUAAACACAUUGGGCAGGCCCAGCUUGUAAGUGACAAGGCAGCACAGUGAGGGUGCAGUGGAGAAAUCCAAGGAAAUAAGGGAUUUGUAAGAAACUAGGACCAGCUUAAGUUAUAAUGAAAGGGCAUCGUGUUAGGAAAAGAACAUUUCCAUCCUUCAGUCACCAUCAGUUAAAGCAGACGUACAUGGAAACCAGAAUGAUCUCUUUACAAGGUUAUUAAAGAUUGUUUUUAUUACCAUAAAUCACUCCUCAUUGGUCUCCUAUCUCCAAUUUGAUGUUUAGAAUCUAAUCUGGAAUUCUUAUGAUGCCCUAGGAGGCCCCUGAUGCUCUGCCUCCUGGUCUGUUUCUAUGUCUCUGUCCCCUAUAUAUAUAUUU